GCCCGUAUGAUGACUUUAUGAUGACUUUUUGUUAAAAGGAAUAAAGCUGCAUCAUUUUAUCACCCGACAAACACCUUAUUGGACUCAAGCAGUAACUCCGGAGAGUGAUGCCUCCUUUUGUCGAAAUGAUCUGAGGCGUGCUGGUUUGGCCUACUUACCGGCCUCCCUGUGCCGUCACUACUGUGUUACAUGCAAGUUUACCAUUUAUGGAAGAGCUUAAUCCCAGGAUGUGGAAUGUGCCGCUCCCAAAACUUGAAUUCCUUCCAGGAUCGCAGCUCGCAAGUGGAAGGAGAAAGAUCCUUUUAUCCUAGUGACUGAACCAAUGAGACAUCUUUGUUGGUUAACUAAGACAAACGGAUUGGCUAAAUGACGACUCCGACCCGCAUCCACGCGUGCGUGGAAUAACCUCCAAAGCCUGACAGGAUUCCUUCGCUUUACAGUUUCACCUCCUUCACGUAGUUCCCAGGGAAAGUCCCAAACUGUUUUGUCCUCUUUGAGCAGCACCCUGACUUUGCACAUGGUAAGCAUGCAGGCUUCAUUCUGCAGAAGGUGGACGUACGUCCCCCGUAGGGAAUGUGAUGUCUGCAGCACAUACCCACAAACCAGCCGUCAUCGCACUUCUCCAUGACGCUGACCAGAUCUCCUUCCUGGAGCUCCAGCUCGUCUUCGUUUUGAGGAGCGUAACUGUACAGCGCCUGGAAACUGGAGUGGCGGAGAGGAGACACCAUAAACAUGCGUGACUGAUGACAGCACCCGGAGGAAACCAUUCAGUCGCGGGGGUGUCACAAGAUGGGGGGUGUCUUGCGGAUACGUUUGGUCCAUAAUAAUUAAACACAUGAAUGAAAAAUAACUUCAUAUAUUGCCAUGUUCCUACAACGGUUUCAGCACCUUGUUCCAUAGAACAACGGCAUGAACGGAGUGAGCCCUUUUGUCACUCAUACAGUCUUUUUGCACGGUGGGUGGAGGCGGGGCCGCUAGCAUACACACAGAGUGCAGACGAGUUUAUCGUACAGAGGUAGACAUGAAAUUAGUACCUUGAAAUAUAUUUCCAAAUUGUCAAAUUAAUCAGUUGUCAAAUGAAUUAAUCACGAUUAAUCCAUCCAUUUUAUCCUCAUCUUAUCCUGCAGGGUGUACCCAAAGGUCAGUUGCUGUCGAUUAAUCCAGAUUAAUGCGACAUAAUUAGC